AAUUGCGAAGCCCUUGGUUUUCUUUAUGUUUCUUUCUUGCUUUCUUCCAUCUUUCUUUAUCUUCUUAUGAUGAGUGCCCUACAUGAUAUACCUGGAAAUGACUCUUCCAUUUGCAGAAGAGAAGGGGAAUUUUCAAUGUAGCUUUCCUUCUGAAAGAUAUUUCAUUGUAUAUAAAAUGAUUAAUGUUAUCCAUUACUAUACAUCAGAUAUAAUAGCAAUGUAUUGUCUACAACCGUGUUUCCCAUCCUUAUCUUUAAGACUUAACUA